rnacentral:lncRNA from 1 species
UGAUGCCUCCGACUCCCGGAGGACCAAAUCUCCUAUUGCAAACCUCCUUGUCUUCACCUUCUGAUUAUAGUGUCGGGCUGUUCGCUGCUGAUAGAUGGCCAAUCUCAUCAUUGCUGAAUCCUGAACUUCAUCCAAUAAAUCUAAAUUUGUUCUCAAACCCUCAUCAUUAUAUAGCUCUUUGUAUUGGCUGACUCGAAGAGUUGGAGAUCCGAUCUCAAUAGGAAUGAGUGCAUCGGUCCCGUAUGCCAACCUGAAUGGGGAGUCUCCAGUUGUAGUCCUUGGGGUAGUUUGAUACGCCCACAAAACAGAUAGCAGUUCUUCGGGCCACCGACCCUUUAAU